rnacentral:tRNA from 1 species
GCCUUUGUGGUGUAAUGGUCAGCACACUGAGCCGGUAUUUCAGAGGUCCGUGGUUCGGUUCCCGGAGAAAGCA